rnacentral:misc_RNA from 1 species
GUGAAUCAUCAAAUUUUUGAACGCAAAUUGCACUCUCUGGUAUUCCGGAGAGUAUGCCUGUUUGAGGGUAAUUAAAAAGAAUCUUUCACCUUUUUUUUUUGGUCAAAGGAAAUGAGCUCUCAGCGUUUAUAGCGUUAGCUUGCAAUAAAUGGUGAAGUCACAUUUUAGUCGAUACGCGUAAUAUUAUUA